rnacentral:lncRNA from 1 species
AGCAGGCUGAGAGGGAAAUAGGGAGCUUCCCUUGCGUUCACAUGCAAAUCACCCAUAGAGAACAGGACAGGUUAAGGCCCCACUAAUUUGCAAGCGGUUGCUUGUGGAUGUACUGCAACAUGGAUGUGGACUUCAAUGAAUUCAGCCAAAAUAUGGUUUCAACAAUUAGCUUAGGUAAGAAAAUGUUGCAAGACCAAUUACCUGGUUUCCAGCAUAGCAUGAAGUGAUUUUCAUUGACUAAUCCUGAAAACACGUAUUACCGGCUGCAGUGGUCCUAGCACAGGUGGUUCAUUUGGCAACAAAUGUAUAAGGAAUAACCUGAAAUGGUGAAAUAAGAACGUGAUUCAUCCGUGGAUAUUCCUGCCCUGGUAAUAGCUUCAAGAUUUGAAGAAGAGUAGCAGUUAUCUGUAGUCUUUCCCUCACUCUUAUGCACGAAGUGCUUCGGAAGACACAUACAGAACAGCCCAGUGGAAAAGACGCCAGUUUCAAGGAAGGAAAAUAAGCGACUUGAUGGUAGCCAGUACUUUUCAUGCUGCAAGGAAAACUUCUGCAACUUGUACAUCAAGUCACUGAUGUACAUUACAAGGAAAGACAGAAAUGCUUUUAGGACUUCUCAGCCGUAUAAUGAGGAUCAUCUUGUUUGGGAUAUGACCACAGUGUAACAACAGGGUCAUGCUUUCUCUGCCAGAUUCCUGUCUCAGAGGAGAUCUAGGUAAGCAGAACUCUAAAGUCAUUAAUACCUGGUAACUGCAUGUUGUCUAUAUGGCAUUAUCUUCUCUGUUUAUUUGCAUACGGGUGUCAGUGUCACCAAAUCCACUGGCACCAUUAGUGCCUGCUGGCUGAGUUAUCACAGUGACCAACAAAUUAAGUGGCAAAGAGAAUGAGUUACUUUGCCAAGAGGAAGCAGUCAAAAUAAAGCAGACAUGAUGAUUAGGAUCA